CUACGGGGGGCUGCAGUGGGGAAUAUUGGACAAUGGGGGAAACCCUGAUCCAGCAAUGCCGCGUGUGUGAAGAAGGCCUGCGGGUUGUAAAGCACUUUCGGUUGGGAGGACUGCUUCUAGCACUAAUAUUGUUGGAAGUUGACGUUACCUUCAGAAGAAGCACCGGCUAACUCCGUGCCAGCAGCCGCGGUAAUACGGAGGGUGCAAGCGUUAAUCGGAAUUGCUGGGCGUAAAGCGCGCGUAGUGCGGCUAGAUCAGUCGGGUGUGAAAGCCCCGGGCUUAACCUGGGAACUGCAACCGAGAAUGUUGAGCGUGGGUACAGGAUAGUAGAGAGGAAUGCCUAAUGUAUCGGGGGCGUGCGGAGCUAUGUGGAGGAACAGCAAGCGAGAAGGCAGACCUCUGGCCUGAUAAUGAAGCUGAGGUGCGAAGGCGUGGCGAGCAAACAGGAUUAGAGACCCGCGUAGUC
rnacentral:rRNA from 1 species